GUUGAGCCACAUUUAGUCUUUUUUCAAUUUCGGCAGAUGACUAUUCACUUCACUUUAUUGGUGGAGCUCCGCCACUGGUAGAAAUUUAUUACCUCUCUUGGCCACGCUCUUGGCAUUAGGUGACUGUAGUUUGCUACAGAUUUUAUAUCAAAAAGGGAAGUUUUAUCGUCAAAAUCAUCUGUUGGGGGGUUUUAAACUAAAAAAAAUCUCUGAAUUUUUUUAAACAAAUUCAAAACCCCCGAA